UUAUCCAUAAUAACCAUGUAUCUGAGGGCUUCCUGUUAUUAUUUCAUUAAUACAUAACAGCAUACCAGCAAACUUAUGCCCCAAAAUACACUUUGACAUAACAAAAGCUUUUCUCAUUUUUCCAUUACAGUAUCAGAGUAUUGUUGGGUGGGAUGCUGUAUUUAUAUCAAUCCAGAGCCUCAAAACUGAACCAGAAAAAGGCAUACAGGAAAGUCUGUGAAUCUAGCCUCAUGGCCUGAGAUAUAUGCCCAAUCCCUAGAAAGGAUCUUCCUGGACUCCACUCAGAAUCCAUCUAAUGUGAGCUUGCAUUCUGACCACCAUUCCUUUCCAUAUACACUUUGAUUUCAACAGGACCUAUACACGACUCUGCAACCACAGCUGUUUAGCUGGCAAGGAAUGUUUUCCUUUGUGGGAAGGUAAAGUGAAAUUCUUUUCAGCCAACGGCACCAGGGAUAUUAUGUUAUUCCACACAUUCAACUGCAUGUUCCCUGGGGGAAGUAGGUUGGUUGUGCAAGACCUCAAAACCAACUAUAACUGUGCAACCUGAAUUUGCCGGUAUGUGACUCAAUCCCACCUGACAAUCAGACAGCGUGGAAGCACCCUGGGUCAAGGAAAGAAAACACAACGAUGCUUCCAGUGUAUCCUAGCCACUAGCUCAAGCUCAAACUCUUUGGAACAGAGGCUAUUCCAUGAGGAAUUCAUACUGCAGUGCUCUUAUACAACAUGAAGGUGGAGCCACCAUCCUGCACAUUGUAGAUGCCUCUAUGUGAGAGCCCCCUUUUCAGAUUUAAGAGGAAUAAUUUUGCUCCUGCAAUACAAAGUUUUCAUAGGAUUGGAUUGAGGGAAACAACUAACUGCAUGGGCAACAUAAUUCUGCGUUAUAACAUUCAACCAGACAACGGUGGAAAAAGAGAUUUUGAGCAUGGAUCUGUGGAAUUCCCUCACAGUCCUAAGAAACAAAUGCAUACAUUCUGCUAUAAACCAUGGAUUGCCAAUUGUAGGGCUGGAACUUCAAACUAUGGUAUGUGCUCUUAACUAUAGCAAGUAGAAACCAUGAUUUUGCAUUACAACUAUCCUGAACCCAACCAUUGGCCUAAUUUGGAUGGUUAUAUUUGGGCUUUAUAUGCAGCUGACUCCCCCCCCCCUUGUGACACGUAGCCAUCAAACACUGGUCUUCCAUUAAUCCAUCUGAACUGGAAAACUAUGGUUAUGUGGUUUGGAACAAUCCAGAAUCAAACAAGAAACUGUAGUUAACUGGAGACUUUCAGGUUAAAUAACUGAGGAGGGAUAAGGCUAUGUGUGCCUAUGAAAUGCUUGUGCAUAUCUUGGUUAAAUGAGCCAAUAUAUGAUCAUCCAGAUAGAGCCAUAGCAGUUCUGCAAACCCUAGAAGCUAAUAUUAUUUGAUAAAACAAUACAAGGUAUUUACCCACACCUUUGUAUUCAUGAUAGCACAUUAAUAUAUUGAGUACAUCUCAUUGACUACAACUGUGAACACUUAAAAGGGUUGUUCAACUUGAGAACAUUGGCGUGGACACAGUGUGGCAGGUGGCACAAGUCUGCAAGGGAAAGAGGCAAUUGGCAAAAAUCACCUUCCUUUCCUUCCUCCAGUGAGAGUCUCUGCUGGACCUCAGGUCCUUCCUGUGUUUGGACAUAGGCCUAUUAGGAACAUAAUGGAUACUCCAGAUACAACCCAGUGUAAGCAAAUGAAGGCAUACUGAGAAUCUGGUUG